GCGCCAGUGUUGUAGGGGUAUCAUGCAAGAUUCCCAUUCUUGCGAACCGGGUUCGAUUCCGGCUGGCGCA
rnacentral:tRNA from 1 species